UCCGGGCGAUCGGUCAGCAGGGUGAUGCGCAGGAAAUUCUUCUGCUUCGCAAACGCGAUCGCGUAAUCGAGCAGCAUCGAGCCGUAGCCUUUGCCCUGGAACGUUUUGUGGAUGACGAGGUCCUCGAGCAGGAUGACGAAGCCGCCUUCCGCCGUGCUGAUCGUGAAGAGGAGGUUGAUCAUCCCCACGAUCG
rnacentral:misc_RNA from 1 species